rnacentral:rRNA from 2 species
UACGAAGGGUGCAAGCGUUACUCGGAAUUACUGGGCGUAAAGCGUGCGUAGGUGGUUGUUUAAGUCUGCUGUGAAAGCCCUGGGCUCAACCUGGGAAUUGCAGUGGAUACUGGGCGACUAGAGUGUGGUAGAGGACAGUGGAAUUUCCGGUGUAGCAGUGAAAUGCGUAGAGAUCGGAAGGAACAUCUGUGGCGAAGGCGACUGUCUGGGCCAACACUGACACUGAGGCACGAAAGCGUGGGGAGCAAACAGG